rnacentral:rRNA from 1 species
CGAACGCUGGCGGCGUGCCUAAUACAUGCAAGUCGAACGCUUCUUUCCUCCCGAGUGCUUGCACUCAAUUGGAAAGAGGAGUGGCGGACGGGUGAGUAACACGUGGGUAACCUACCCAUCAGAGGGGGAUAACACUUGGAAACAGGUGCUAAUACCGCAUAACAGUUUAUGCCGCAUGGCAUAAGAGUGAAAGGCGCUUUCGGGUGUCGUUGAUGGAUGGACCCGCGGUGCAUUAGCUAGUUGGUGAGGUAACGGCUCACCAAGGCCACGAUGCAUAGCCGACCUGAGAGGGUGAUCGGCCACACUGGGACUGAGACACGGCCCAGACUCCUACGGGAGGCAGCAGUAGGGAAUCUUCGGCAAUGGACGAAAGUCUGACCGAGCAACGCCGCGUGAGUGAAGAAGGUUUUCGGAUCGUAAAACUCUGUUGUUAGAGAAGAACAAGGACGUUAGUAACUGAACGUCCCCUGACGGUAUCUAACCAGAAAGCCACGGCUAACUACGUG